UACGGGGAGACUACUGUAUAAGCAUUGAGUAGAUAAAGGGGGAAAGAUACAAAUUAAGCAAGGUUAAGGAGAGAGGAUGAGCUGAAAUCAAAGGAAGUGAGAAAAUAAUUUUGUGGGCAAGAAGAAGAUGAGAGAUUUCCAGCAAGUACAGUGGGAGGUGGAGUGGAAUGGCAGACUCUAAGCAACAAAGAAACACUCUUCUGUGUUAAAGGAGGGGGCUAGGCCAGAAGGAGGCUUUAUUUGUAGUUAACACAACUACGUGUCCAGUGGACACUUAUUCAAUUAGUUUUAACACAGAAAGACAAGAAGGAGGUGGGUAGAGCAAGGACUAUUUGCAGAAAGUAGUAAAGAAGAAAGUGGGAAUUGAGGAGGAAAAAUAAGAUCAAACUAUGUGAUGCGGGGCUAGAAAGUGUUCCUUUUGGAUACAGCCCUGGAGAAGAUAAAAGAUAUGAAGGCAACUUGAACCAGAGGCCAGUGGAACCCCACUUCUCCACUAUCAGGCAAGGAACCUACAUCUCAAGGACCUUUCAGUCCACUAAGUAUUUGACACACUCUUGACUUUUCUUACUGACAACGUCAUAUCCACACAUAGAGGAGAAUAUCAAGCUGAACUCUGACUUUGGGCUUAAUUCCUACCAACAAGAAUAAUAGAGUUUUUAAAAUGAAUAUGACAGCAACUUUGGAAGAAAGUUAUCUUGGAGUUUGUAAAAGUAAAAUGUUGGCAACAUAAAUAAAAGUACCCCAGACUUUAGAAUAUCAUAUGCUUAAAAAGUCAGAUAGAAUGUGAUUACAAUCUCAUGAUAAGGGUUUCUAAAAAGUAUUCAAGAGAGAUGAGAGGUUCUCGAAAUUCUUAUAAUGUAAUAAGGAAUUAGACUAAAGAGAAGUAAAAAGAAGGAGGAAUCUAAAGAAAGCCAUGUGACUACACAGGGGUCCUCUGAUGUGCCCAAAAGAUAAAAGGAGGAGAAAAAAACCAAAGGGAAAUACAGAAGAGUGGUGCCAAUUUAGGUUUCAUUUCUACAUUUUCUAAUGCCUAAUACACAACACCGCAGGAUGGAAGAAAGGCAUAGAAAAUUCAAAAGGCACCUGCUCAGUCGUCACAACAGGACAGUGAUGUGAUUGACAGAAAGACACCAACAGACACUGUUAUGGAAGAUGUAAAGUUUCUUCAAUGGCAAAGGACAUGAAAACUUAUGGAGAUACCUAUAGAAAGCAGGAGCCAAGACAUUAGACUCCCUGCUGGUGGCUGUCUGCAACCCUGGAAGAGACUUCUCACCAGAACCUGAAUCAGCCAGAAUCUUGAGCUUGAACUUCUAGCCUCUAGAACCAUGAGAAAAUAAAUGUCUGUUGUUUAAGCCAUUCA
rnacentral:lncRNA from 1 species